UAAUACGGGGGGAGCAAGCGUUGUUCGGAUUUACUGGGCGUAAAGGGCGCGUAUGCGGCCAGCGCAAGUCAGUUGUGAAAUCUCCGGGCUUAACUCGGAACGGUCAACUGAUACUGCGCGGCUAGAGUGCGGAAGGGGCAACUGGAAUUCUCGGUGUAGCGGUGAAAUGCGUAGAUAUCGAGAGGAACACCUGCGGCGAAAGCGGGUUGCUGGGCCGACACUGACGCUGAUGCGCGAAAGCCAGGGGAGCGAACGGGAUUAGAUACCCCGGUAGUCCUGGCCUUAAACGAUGGAUGCUUGGUGUCUGGAGUUUUAUAAUCUCCGGGUGCCGCAGCUAACGCGUUAAGCAUCCCCCCUGGGGAGUACGGUCGCAAGACUGAAACUCAAAGGAAUUGACGGGGACCCGCACAAGCGGUGGAGCAUGUGGUUCAAUUCGACGCAACCCGAAAGAACUUACCUGGGCUAGAAUGCCUCUGACACCCUAGAAAUACGGUUUC
rnacentral:rRNA from 1 species